rnacentral:rRNA from 1 species
UACGGAGGGUGCAAACGUUGCUCGGAAUUAUUGGGCGUAAAGAGCUCGUAGGCGGUUUGUUGCGUCGGCUGUGAAAUCCCGAGGCUCAACCUCGGGUCUGCAGUCGAUACGAGCAAACUAGAGUGUUGCAGGGGAGACUGGAAUUCCUGGUGUAGCGGUGGAAUGCGCAGAUAUCAGGAAGAACACCCGUGGCGAAGGCGGCUCUCUGGAACGCAACUGACGCUGAGACGCGAAAGCGUGGGGAGCGAACGGG